rnacentral:rRNA from 1 species
AGAGUUUGAUUAUGGCUCAGAACGAACGCUGGCGGCAUGCCUCAUACAUGCAAGUCGAACGAGGUCUUCGGACCUAGUGGCGCACGGGUGAGUAACAUGUGGGAAUCUACCUGAAGGUUCGGAAUAACUGCGGGAAACUGUAGCUAAUACCGGAUGUGUCUGCAAAGAGAAAGAUUUAUCGCCUUCAGAUGAGCCCGCACUAGAUUAGCUAGUUGGUGAGGUAACUGCUCCACCAAGGCUACGAUCUAUAGCUGAUUUGAGAGGAUGAUCAGCCACACUGGGACUGAGACACGGCCCAGACUCCUACGGGAGGCAGCAGUAGGGAAUAUUGGACAAUGGGGGAAACCCUGAUCCAGCAAUGCCGCGUGAGUGAAGAAGGCCUUCGGGUUGUAAAACUCUUUCAUCAAUGAUGAUAAUGACAUUAGUUGAAGAAGAAGCUCCGGCUAACUUCGUGCCAGCAGCCGCGGUAAUACGAAGGGGGCUAGCGUUGUUCGGAAUCACUGGGCGUAAAGCGUAUGUAGGCGGAUCAAAAAGUUAGAUGUGAAAUCCCUGGGCUCAACCCAGGAACUGCAUUUAAAACUAGUGAUCUAGAAUUUGGUAGGGGUUAGUAGAAUUUCCAGUGUAGAGGUGAAAUUCGUAGAUAUUGGAAAGAAUACCAGUGGCGAAGGCGACUAACUGGGCCAUUUUUGACGCUGAGAUACGAAAGCGUGGGUAGCAAACAGGAUUAGAUACCCUGGUAGUCCACGCAGUAAACGAUGAGUGCUAGUCGCUGGGACAAUAGUUUCAGUGUCGAAGCUAACGCAUUAAGCACUCCGCCUGGGAAGUACGGUCGCAAGAUUAAAAC